rnacentral:rRNA from 1 species
GAUUAAAACUCAAAGGAAUAGACGGGGACCCGCACAAGCGGUGGAGCAUGUGGUUUAAUUCGAAGAUACGCGAAGAACCUUACCUGGGCUUGAUAUCCUAAGAACCUUUUAGAGAUAAGAGGGUGCUAGCUUGCUAGAACUUAGAGACAGGUGCUGCACGGCUGUCGUCAGCUCGUGUCGUGAGAUGUUGGGUUAAGUCCCGCAACGAGCGCAACCCACGUAUUUAGUUGCUAACGGUUCGGCCGAGCACUCUAAAUAGACUGCCUUCGUAAGGAGGAGGAAGGUGUGGACGACGUCAAGUCAUCAUGGCCCUUAUGCCCAGGGCGACACACGUGCUACAAUGGCAUAUACAAUGAGACGCAAUACCGCGAGGUGGAGCAAAUCUAUAAAAUAUGUCCCAGUUCGGAUUGUUCUCUGCAACUCGAGAGCAUGAAGCCGGAAUCGCUAGUAAUCGUAGAUCAGCCAUGCUACGGUGAAUACGUUCCCGGGUCUUGUACUCACCGCCCGUCACACCAUGGGAGUUGAUUUCACUCGAAGCCGGAAUACUAAACUAGUUACCGUCCACAGUGGAAUCAGCGACUGGGGUGAAGUCGUAACAAGGUAACCGUAGGAGAACCUGCGGUUGGAUCACCUCCUUUCUA